GCCAGUGUGGUAUAGUGGUUUAAGUGUUAAGACUACAACUCUGAAGACCAGGGUUCAAAUCCCUGCUCAGCCC